rnacentral:misc_RNA from 1 species
GAUGAAGAACGUAGCGAAAUGCGAUAAGUAAUGUGAAUUGCAGAAUUCAGUGAAUCAUCGAAUCUUUGAACGCACAUUGCGCCCGCCAGUAUUCUGGCGGGCAUGCCUGUUCGAGCGUCAUUACAACCCUCAGGCCCCCGGGCCUGGCGUUGGGGAUCGGCGGAAGCCCCCUGUGGGCACACGCCGUCCCUCAAAUACAGUGGCGGUCCCGCCGCAGCUUCCAUUGCGUAGUAGCUAACACCUCGCAACUGGAGAGCGGAGCGGCCAUGCCGUAAAACACCCAACUGCUGAAUGUUGACCUCGAAUCAGGUAGGAAUACCCGCUGAACUUAAGCAUAUCAAUAAGCGGAGG